GAUGAACGCUGGCGGCGUGCUUAACACAUGCAAGUCGAACGGAAAGGCCCAAGCUUUCUUGGGUACUCGAGUGGCGAACGGGUGAGUAACACGUGGGUGAUCUGCCCUGCACUUCGGGAUAAGCCUGGGAAACUGGGUCUAAUACCGGAUAGGACCUCUUCUUGGAUGUUGUGGUGGAAAGUUUUUUCGGUGUGGGAUGAGCUCGCGGCCUAUCAGCUUGUUGGUGGGGUAAUGGCCUACCAAGGCGUCGACGGGUAGCCGGCCUGAGAGGGUGUACGGCCGCAUUGGGACUGAGAGACGGCCCAGACUCCUACGGGAGGCAGCAGUGGGGAAUAUUGCACGAGGGGCGCAAGCCUGAUGCAGCGACGCCGCGUGGGGGAUGACGGCCUUCGGGUUGUAAACUCCUUUCGCUAGGGACGAAGCGUUUUGUGACGGUACCUGGAGAAGAAGCACCGGCUAACUACGUG
rnacentral:rRNA from 1 species